GACGAACGCUGGCGGCGUGCCUAAUACAUGCAAGUCGAGCGCAGGAAACUGACGGAACUCUUCGGAGGGAAGGCAGCGGAAUGAGCGGCGGACGGGUGAGUAACACGUAAGGAACCUGCCUCAAGGAUUGGGAUAACUCCGAGAAAUCGGAGCUAAUCCCGGAUAGUUCAUCGGACCGCAUGGUCCGUUGAUGAAAGGCGCUCCGGCGUCACCUUGAGAGGGCCUUGCGGUGCAUUAGCUAGUUGGUGGGGUAACGGCCCACCAAGGCGACGAUGCAUAGCCGACCUGAGAGGGUGAUCGGCCACACUGGGACUGAGACACGGCCCAGACUCCUACGGGAGGCAGCAGUAGGGAAUCUUCCACAAUGGACGAAAGUCUGAUGGAGCAACGCCGCGUGAGUGAUGAAGGUUUUCGGAUCGUAAAACUCUGUUGUAAGGGAAGAACACGUACGAGAGGAAAUGCUCGUACCUUGACGGUACCUUACGAGAAAGCCACGGCUAACUACGUGCCAGCAGCCGCCGUAA
rnacentral:rRNA from 1 species